AAAAGCGAGUUAUAGAAACAAUAAAGCUAAAGUUACGGGAAGUUGUAGUAAUUAAUCAAAAUAAUUUUAUUAUUUUUGUUCAAAACAGGACGGGAGGCAAACAUAUAUAAAAUCGAAACACAUCAUUUACUUGUCAAAUGAAACUUUUACUUUUAAAUUUUUUUUUUUGUUUUUGCAUAGAAAAAAUAAUAACACGCAAAGUUAUAAAGCGUCACAGAGAUAAACUAUGGAAUAACAUUUACCUACCGAAUCCAGCUACUAUAUCAUUACACCGUCUGCCACAAAAAUACGGUUUUCUUGAGGAUAUAAAAGAUCUACAUACAUCAGUGCGUAACAAAACUCAUACACCUCGAGCGAAUCAAGAUUUACUGAAUUUUCACAACAGUCAAUAUUUUGGAGAAUUACGAUUGGGUACCCCAGGAAAACCGUUUAUUGUAGUUUUUGACACAGGAAGUUCAACAUUAUGGGUACCGAGCGCUAAAUGUCAGACUGGAGGAUGCUUACAUCAUUCUCGGUUUGAUCCUUUGAGAAGUUCUUCAUUUUUGCCUUUAAAAAAGGGAAAAAAUCAAGAGUACAUUCAAUAUGGAACGGGGUCAUGCGUUUUAGAUUUAGGUCAAGACACAGCGCAGAUUGGUUCCCUUUCGGUUCGAAACCAAACAUUUGGAACGGCACGCAUAGAAAGUACUCAUCCUUUUGUUGAUCUACCGUUUGGUAAUGCUUUUGUUAAUUUGUUUUUAAUAAAAGGUGAUAAUGUGUUACGUAUAUCCUAUAGAUGGACUUGUUGGAUUGGGUUUUCCUGAGCCAGGGUGUUCUUAAGCGUAAUAUUUUUGCGGUAUACAUGUCUAAAAACGUGGAUGAACCAGGAGCAUUAUCUUUUGGAUCUAUUGACCCUAGAUAUGUUUAUCAUAAUGAUCAUCCAAUAU